rnacentral:rRNA from 1 species
UACGAAGGGGGCUAGCGUUGUUCGGAAUUACUGGGCGUAAAGGGCGCGUAGGCGGCGUGUCAAGUCAGGCGUGAAAGCCCCGGGCUCAACCUGGGAACCGCGCUUGAGACUGGCAUGCUCGAGUUCGGGAGAGGAUGGUGGAAUUCCCAGUGUAGAGGUGAAAUUCGUAGAUAUUCGGAAGAACACCAGUGGCGAAGGCGACUCACUGGACAUGUAUUGACGCUGAGGUGCGAAAGCGUGGGGAGCAAACAGG